rnacentral:rRNA from 1 species
UUCAUACAUGCAAGUCGAACGAGAAUCUGACUUCGGUCAGAGGAAAGUGGCGGACGGGUGAGUAAUGUGUAGAGAAUCUGCCCUAGAGUGGGGGACAACAGUUGGAAACGACUGCUAAUACCCCAUAUGCGCGUACUUGAGAUAGUAUUCGUGAAAACUCCGGUGCUCUGGGAUGAGUCUGCAUCUGAUUAGCUAGUUGGCGGUGUAAUGGACCACCAAGGCGACGAUCAGUAGCUGGUUUGAGAGGAUGAUCAGCCACAAUGGGACUGAGACACGGCCCAUACUCCUACGGGAGGCAGCAGUAGGGAAUUUUGCGCAAUGGGGGAAACCCUGACGCAAGCAACGCCGCGUGAUUGAAUAAGCCCUUCGGGGUGUAAAGAUCUGUCAGUAGGGACGAAACUUGACGGUACCUACAGAGGAAGCAUCGGCUAACUCCGUGCCAGCAGCUGC